AACUUUCGGCAAUGGAUCACUUGGUUCUGGCAUCGAUGAAGAACGCAGCGAAAUGCGAUAAGUAAUGUGAAUUGCAGAAUUCAGCGAAUCAUCGAAUUUUUGAACGCACAUUGCGCCUCAGAGUAUUCUUUGAGGCAUACCUGUUCGAGCGUCGUUUAGACCAUAGGGCUUUGCCUUGCGUUGAUUCUUCUGGAUGCAGAGCAAUCUGUACCAGAAAAUCUAAACAUGUUGGCGUCGUAGUUUGACCAAGACACAGCACAAUGUAUCUGAAAUCAUUCUGAUAAAACGAUUUGCCUUGAAUCAUCUAAUUUUUCUUUUGAAGAAUUGUAGGUUCGACCUCGGAUCAGGUAAGACUACCCGCUGAACUUAAGCAUAUCAAUAAGCGGAGGCU
rnacentral:misc_RNA from 1 species